UUUAAAUUAAUUAUAAAAAAACACACUAAUUAAUGUAGCAAGUGCUUGCUGCAGCCAAACAGGAGGUUGCAUUGCUAACAGCUUGUAGACGGGGAGGACUAUUACUGGAGAAGAGGGGAAGAAUAAGUAGUCUAAUGAAAUGCAAACUCACAAUGUUAAGCCAACAGAAAACAGAAAUGAACUAUGCAUGCAGCGUAGUUGAUCAAAAACCUGCCUGUUGAACCAGAUACCAAUAUCUAAGGUUGCUUGUGCUGUUUUAUAGUACCUUAGGUCCUACAAAAAUACAUCAAAUGAGGACACAAUUGAUCAACUAUUGUUUUCUUUCCAUAGCAUUCUGAAUUAGCUUACAUAAAAUUCAGUACAAUCAAAAGGCCCAAUAACAGAGGCAUCACCGACGCCAUCAAAAUUUUUGGGGGAUCUUUAAGGUCAAAAGAAUUUCUAAAAUAUUUAGAUUAUAUUUUGCUGACACAUGCAUCAAGAGAGGAAACUCAAAUGUUCUGUUGUCUAAAUUACUGGACAAACAUCGCUCCAAACACUAUCCAUCAGCGCCCCUUUUGCCCCAGUGCUGAAAGGUUGUCCUCAUUAUCAGCAGACCAAUGAAUAAACAAUCUUCUUCCCUAUAGCAGAAGAGGAUCGAUUACCACUCCCAGUACCAAUAUUCACGCCAAUGCUCAAUCCAUCAACUCUAGGCUCUUAAUCAUCACACCACCCUUCUGUCUCAAUAAGUUUACCUUUAACCAGCAACUAAAUAAAUCAAAAUAACAACAACAAUAAUAAUUCUUAAGAGUAUGAAAAUUUUAGAAGCACAAACAGCACAUCAGUACAUGAGGGAUAUGUAUGUAUGUAUGUAUGUAUGUAUAGUUAUGCCCCUUCUCGUUUUUCAAAAUUUCAAGGAUAGCAAGUUGACCCCUGUUGUUACAAACAAACAAGCUGCUGUUCUUUGUGUUUGCUGCUGCUAGUACUCUCUGUUUCAGCUUAUCUUCGGUUUCUAUAUGUCUUCUUGGCUUUUUGACUUCUUUAUGGCUUCUUGCUUGUCUUCCUACUUGCUCUGCUUCUAUAUUCCCCAUUUUCCUUUUUCUUGUUUCUCCCUCCUUUACUGUCGUAAUCUUGUCGCUUUUAUAGGUAAUUUUGUGCUUAUCUAAUAUAGGUGUGGAGCUAGCCAAACUACACCUGUCUCUUAUCUAAUAUAGGUGUCAAGCUAGCCAAACUACACCUGUCUUCAUUUUAAUCUCCUGCAUACUAACCUUAUCACCCAAAAAUUAUUAUUUAAAUUAUAGAUAAUAAUCUGAAUUUAUGCUAGUAAUAUUUUAUUCACUAACAACCCCUUGUAUAUGGCUCAAGGUAUCAUCCAAAGGGAAGAAGCAUCACAAUGCAAUCAGUUACGCAAGAAUCCUGUGAAACACAAUUCACAAUACAAAAUUUACAAAUCAAAAAUCAUACGGAGUAGAAAAAUGUAAAAUGGUACCUGGAACAAACCUUGGACGCAGAAGAAGCUAAAAGUGAGAGAGAAGGAAGCAAUAUACUUUUCUAUAUUCAAUCUCCUUCAAGUAUGUAUGAGAUAACGAUAAUGGCGAUUACUUUGUGCAAGUAUUUUAAUCAAACUUCCUUAAAGGGUAAUUAUACUACAAUCCCCUUUGUUGUUGUAAAAUUUAAAUUAAGUUCUUAUAUUUCUAAAUAUUCACUCAAUGUUCCU
rnacentral:lncRNA from 1 species